AUGGUAUAGCUAUGAUGCAAGAGCGCCCUCUGCAGGCCAUGCGAAGAUGAGUCUCUUUCUUAAAGGGUAGCUUUUCCGCUCUUUGUGUAGAGUACAACCCUUCCCUUCCUCCUGUAGCAUUCUCAUCAAGAAACAUUUGUUUAGUGCUUACCCUGAGCUAGGCACAGUGUGCUUAGGGCUGGGAACACAAAAAUAAAAGCAUCCUAGGCUUAAAGGAUCUCACGGUCUAAUGGGGUACAUCCCAAUCAGAUCAUUAUAAUGCAACCUGAGAGGUGUGUCACUGGAGCUGUGCCUCAUGUCCCCAUUAGUUUGCAAUCACAAGUUGCACACAAGAGCCGAAAUCAAACUGUACAGUACAAUGCUUUUUUGUUAGGAGAGAAGGACUGGUGACUCACCCUAGCAUUUUCUCUUUGCACAGAAACAGAUGCCCUGCCCAGAAGCAACACGGCUAAUGGGUGCCACCGUGGAGACCCAGGCAACCUGAGAGUAGUCCUGACAGCCAGACCUCCAGGGUGGAAAUGGGAAGGUCUACAGAGAAAGUGGGAGACAUGAAACUAAACAGGAAUGAUACAUUGACAAUAAAGAACAUGAAGAGAUGGUUCCUGGACACUACAAGAAACCUGUGGUCCCAGCUACUCGAAGACUGAAGUGAGAGGAUCACUUGAGCCCAGAAGGUCGAUGCUACAGUGAGCCAUGAUCAUGCCACUAUACUCCAGCCUAGGUGACAGAGCGAGACUCCAUCUCAGA
rnacentral:lncRNA from 10 species